rnacentral:lncRNA from 10 species
GUCUGACUACCAUCAACUAAACUGGCCUCAAUUUCUCCUCCUGCUGAGUCUGAGGACCAACAAAAAGCACUAGAGACUACAAGAACACAAAUAGGAAUGGAAGGUGGCACCUAGAAAGCCAGCGAGACAGAACCGUUCACUCUUCCGGAAAGGGGGCUGAAACCAGGGAGCCGAGUGGUAUUGCUCAGCGGAUCUCACUCCCAUGAAGCCCAACAAGCUAAGAUCCACUGGCUUGAAACUCUCACUGCCAGCACAGCAGUCUGAAGUCAACCUGAUCCAAGGCUGAAUUCUGCAGUUUUUGGCUUCAUUCCAACUUGAAUUUAUAUAGAAUAUUUUCAAUCUGUGGUUGGUUGAAUCCACAGAUGCAAAACCCACAGACGUGAGGGCUGAUUCUACGUGCAAACUGGCCACAAAAGUCCUGGCUGUCUUCAAAGCUGCAUCCUAACGAGGGCAGAGUACCUGGUACAAUGAAUCUGAUUGUAAUUUACAAGAAAAUCACCUCUACUGCCUACAAUAUGUUACCUCAUUUGUUUCCCAGUUCCUAAUUUGUACCCUUAGAUUCUUAGACCAUAAAGUAUUUCCUGAAGGAAUAGAGGGCUCCAAGUGGGAUGAUUUGAGUAGUUCAUUUUGGUGGCUUUUGUUAUGGAAAUAUGUGAGGAUGGUUGAACUUUAGUACUGAUUUUUCAUUCACAUGACAAGAAUGCCUACAUAAAUCAUGUUGCUCUCCCAUUUAAGUAAUUACUAGGUUUGAAGCCAGUUAAAACAAAUGAUAGAAGAUAUUUUAGGUUAAACAACAUGGUUUUGCUUUCAUUGACAUCAACCAUAAUAGGCCUAAAAAUAUAAGUGCAGAAAAGCAUGUUAGUAUCUUUUAUUUCUUUCAAGUAUAUUCAUUUAGUUGACUUUUUCAAAUAUAUUUUAGCUUAUUUUGCCUUCUGAUAAGAAUAGGACAAUUGAAGAAAAGGUUUUCUCACUUCCUUAACAUUAUGAAAGAAUUUUAUUUUGGAAUUGCCUGAGAGGUAAAUGGAAAAUAUGCUCAGUUGGCCCAAAUUCUUUAUUAAACAACAUUAUAAGUGAAAAUCUGUUUUCCCUGCUAUUAUCUGAGUGCUAUGCUUAAAGAAACAAAUAAACAUCCUGACAGUUGACAGACAGGAAAUAUGUUUUGUUUCCUUUUUUAUUCCGGCUUCAUUAUUUUCCAUGGAGAUGGAUUCUUGAAGCGACAGGCUGUGUUCAUUUCAGUUCAACUGUUCAUUGACUUAUGCAACAUAUCAAAUUCCUUACCAAAGUGAAAAAAAAAAAAAGCAGAAUGAAAUUUAGCUAUGAUUCAACCAGAGAAAUUUACAUGUUGGGCAAGGAUUCUUGUUAUUUAAAGAUAAAGGCAUUUUUGAAAGUCCACUGAAAAAUGGCUAAAAUUUUUCUAAUUCUGGUUUGGUGAUAUAUCCUAUUAAUCUGCCACCACUUAUUAAUGGCACUCAUAAUUUAAAGCCCUCUAACACUGGCACCUCACAUCUCAUUAAGGUAUCUCCUCCCAUUCUUCCUGCAAACAUGACAUUUAGGAGACCAUUAUAUGACUU